GCUUGAUCCUGGCUCAGAUUGAACGCUGGCGGCAUGGUUAAAGCAUGCAAGUCGCACGAGAACCCUUCGGGGGGAAAGUGGCGAAAGGGCGAGUAAUGCGAUCGAACGUACCCUGAGGUGGGGAAUAGCGUCGGGAAACCGGCAGUAAUGCCCCAUGUGCUCUACGGAGGAAAGCUUUGGCGCCUCAGGAGCGGCGAUCGUCCUAUCAGGUAGUUGGUGAGGUAACGGCUCACCAAGCCGAAGACGGGUAGCGGGUGUGAGAGCAUGACCCGCCGCAUCGGAACUGAGACACUGUCCGGACUCCUACGGGAGGCUGCAGCGACGAAUCUUCCGCAAUGGGCGAAAGCCUGACGGAGCAAUGCCGCGUGUGGGAUGAAGCAUCUUCGAUGUGUAAACCACUGUCAGAUUCUAGGACCAACGACCAGAAUCAGAGGAAGGGCCGGCUAACCUCGUGCCAGCAGCCGCGGUAAUACGAGGGGCCCAAGCGUUAAUCGGAAUCACUGGGCUUAAAGCGUGCGCAGGCGGCCUUGCAAGCAUCUCGUGAAAUCCCACGGCUCAACCGUGGAACUGCGGGGUGAACUGCAAGGCUUGAGGCAGGUAGGGGCUGAUGGAACCAUGAGUGGAGCGGUGAAAUGCGUAGAUAUUCAUGGGAACGCCGAUGGGGAAGCCGAUCAGCUGGGCCUGUCCUGACGCUCAGGCACGAAAGCGUGGGGAGCAAACAGGAUUAGAUACCCUGGUAGUCCACGCCGUAAACGAUGCACACUAGAUCGGGGCGGUUCUGACACCGUCCCGGUCGAAGGAAAACUGUUAAGUGUGCCGCCUGGGGAGUACGGUCGCAAGGCUAAAACUCAAAGGAAUUGACGGGGGCUCACACAAGCGGUGGAGCAUGUUGCUUAAUUCGAGGCAACGCGAAGAACCUUAUCCUAGGCUUGACAUGUAUGGAUUAGCAUAUGGAAACAUAUGUGACGCCCUUGGGUGGAACAUACACAGGUGCUGCAUGGCUGUCGUCAGCUGUGCUGUGAAGUGUCGGGUUAAGUCCCUUAACGAGCGCAACCCCUAUCGUUAGUUGCUAACGCGUCAUGGCGAGUACUCUAGCGAGACUGCCGGUGUCAAACCGGAGGAAGGUGGGGAUGACGUCAAGUCCUCAUGGCCUUUAUGUCUAGGGCUGCAAACGUGCUACAAUGGUAUGGACAGAGCGAGGCGAUCCUGCGAAGGGGAGCAAAUCGCAAAAACCAUGCCCCAGUUCGGAUAGCAGGCUGCAAUUCGCCUGCUUGAAGUUGGAAUCGCUAGUAAUCGCGGAUCAGCAACGCCGCGGUGAAUGUGUUCCUGAGCCUUGUACACACCGCCCGUCACGUCAUGGAAGCCGGGAGUGCCCGAAGUCACCUCGAUUCAGGGGUGCCUACGGCAAGCUCGGUGACUGGGACGAAGUCGUAACAAGGUA
rnacentral:rRNA from 1 species